rnacentral:lncRNA from 1 species
AGAAGGUGUGUCCACUAUUUUCCCAGUGGUGUAUGAAAGGCAGGCCAGCUCCUGAACCCCAACGUUGUUCCUCAAGUUUUUUUUUGCCUGGUCUGUAUCAAAAGACAGAAUCUUGAUGACUAAGACAUUUUCUUUGGGCUUGGUCGAAGCCUUCCCCACUAAUAACAAGAACACCCAUGCCAUGGGAAAGAAGAUAUUAGAGGAAAAUUUCCCAAGAUUUGGCAUCUCUAAGGUACUUUCAUCAGACAAUGGCCCCUCCUUCAUUGUCCAGAACCCCCUCUAGCUCACUUGAAGGCUCUACAAUUGGUCAGAAAAGAUGCCUUGGAAAUGCUGAAACACAAUAAAAAACAAAAACAAAAACAAAAAAACAAAAAAACAUACUAACCAGGAACCAUCUUCGUGCCACAUAAAUUUCAAACAGAAGAUCCUGUCCGGGUCCGGUGCCACCAUUCUGGCAAACUUGAACUCAGAUCAAAAGGAUGCUCCCUGGUGCUUCUGACAAGCCCUGCUGCCGCACCUCCAGCAUGUAACCGCUUCUGGCCUGCCAUGGCCCACUGGCCUGGCACUGCUCA